CCCAGACUCCUACGGGAGGCAGCAGUGGGGAAUAUUGCACAAUGGGGGAAACCCUGAUGCAGCAACGCCGCGUGAGUGAAGAAGUAUUUCGGUAUGUAAAGCUCUAUCAGCAGGGAAGAAGAAGGACGGUACCUGACUAAGAAGCCCCGGCUAACUACGUGCCAGCAGCCGCGGUAAUACGUAGGGGGCGAGCGUUAUCCGGAUUUACUGGGUGUAAAGGGAGCGUAGACGGUUAAUCAAGUCUGAAGUGAAAGCCCGCGGCUCAACUGCGGAACGGCUUUGGAAACUGAGUAACUGGAGUGCUGGAGGGGCAGGCGGAAUUCCUGGUGUAGCGGUGAAAUGCGUAGAUAUUAGGAGGAACACCAGUGGCGAAGGCGACUUACUGGACUGUAACUGACGUUGAGGCACGAAAGUGUGGGGAGCAAACAGGAUUAGAUACCCUCGUA
rnacentral:rRNA from 1 species